rnacentral:rRNA from 1 species
UGGGGAAUCUUGCGCAAUGGGCGAAAGCCUGACGCAGCAACGCCGCGUGCGGGAUGACGGCCUUCGUGGUUGUAAACCGCUUUCAGCAGGGACGAAAAUGACGGUACCUGCAGAAGAAGCCCCGGCUAACUACGUGCCAGCAGCCGCGGUAAUACGUAGGGGGCAAGCGUUGUCCGGAUUCAUUGGGCGUAAAGAGCUCGUAGGCGGUUCAGUAAGUCGGGUGGGGAAGCUCCGAGCUCAACUCGGAGAGGCCACCCGAUACUGCUGUGACUUGAGUCCAGUAGAGGAGCGUGGAACUCCUGGUGUAGCGGUGGAAUGCGCAGAUAUCAGGAAGAACACCGGCAGCGAAGGCGGCGCUCUGGGCUGGAACUGACGCUGAGGAGCGAAAGCGUGGGUAGCAAACA